rnacentral:rRNA from 1 species
AACGAACGCUGGCGGCGUGCCUAACACAUGCAAGUCGAGCGCGAAAAGGGCAACCUGAGUAGAGCGGCGCACGGGUGCGUAACACGUGGGUAAUCUGCCUUAGAGUCGAGGAUAACCCUCCGAAAGGUUGGCUAAUACUCGGUAAGCUUACGGUGUCUUCGGACGCUGUGGGAAAAGUAGGCCUCUGUUUACACGCUUACGCUCUGAGAUGAGCCCGCGGCCCAUCAGCUAGUUGGCGGUGUAACGGACCACCAAGGCAACGACGGGUAGCUGGUCUGAGAGGACGAUCAGCCACACUGGAACUGAGACACGGUCCAGACUCCUAGGGGAGGCAGCAGUGGGGAAUUUUCCAAAAUGGGCGAAAGCCUGAUGGAGCAACGCCGCGUGUGUGAUGAAGGUUUUCGGAUCGUAAAGCACUUUCGACUGGGACGAAAAACCUUUGGCUAACAUCCAGGGGCCUGACGGUACCAGGAGAAGAAGCACCGGCUAACUCUGUGCCAGCCGCCGCAGUAAGAC